CAGCAGCCGCGGUAAUACGUAGCGUGGCAAGCGUUGUCCGGAAUUAUUGGGCGUAAAGGGCUCGCAGGCGGUUUCUUAAGUCUGAUGUGAAAGCCCCCGGCUCAAACCGGGGAGGGUCAUUGGAAACUGGGAAACUUGAGUGCAGAAGAGGAGAGUGGAAUUCCACGUGUAGCGGUGAAAUGCGUAGAGAUGUGGAGGAACACCAGUGGCGAAGGCGACUCUCUGGUCUGUAACUGACGCUGAGGAGCGAAAGCGUGGGGAGCGAACAGGAUUAGAUACCCUGGUAGUCCACGCCGUAAACGGAUGAGUGCUAAGUGUUAGGGGGUUUCCGCCCCUUAGUGCUGCAGCUAACGCAUUAAGCACUCCGCCUGGGGAGUACGGUCGCAAGACUGAAACUCAAAGGAAUUGACGGG
rnacentral:rRNA from 1 species